rnacentral:rRNA from 1 species
AGAGUUUGAUCCUGGCUCAGGACGAACGCUGGCGGCGGGCCUAACACAUGCAAGUCGCGGGAGAAGCCAUCCCUUCGGGGACGGUGGAGACCGGCGGACGGGUGAGUAAUGCGUAGGCAAUCUGCCUUCAGGCGGGGGAUAACCCUCCGAAAGGGGAGCUAAUACCGCAUAAUGCAGCGGGGCCGCAUGGCCACAGUUGUUAAAGCUUUCGAGCGCCUGGAGAUGAGCCUACGUGCCAUUAGUUAGUUGGUGGGGUAACGGCCCACCAAGACGAUGAUGGCUAGCUGGUCUGAGAGGAUGAUCAGCCACACGGGGACUGAGACACGGCCCCGACUCCUACGGGAGGCAGCAGUGAGGAAUCUUGCGCAAUGGAGGAAACUCUGACGCAGCCACGCCGCGUGCAGGAAGACGGCCCUACGGGUUGUAAACUGCUUUUCUGGCCGAAGAACCCCUGGGUUUCGACCCGGGCUGACGGUAGGCCAGGAACAAGCACCGGCUAACUCCGUGCCAGCAGCCGCGGUAAUACGGAGGGUGCAAGCGUUGUCCGGAAUCAUUGGGUGUAAAGGGUGCGUAGGCGGGCGUCUAAGUCCGAGGUGAAAUCCUGCCGCUUAACGGCAGAAUGGCCUUGGAUACUGGGCGUCUUGAGUACAGUAGAGGCCGGUGGAAUUCGUAGUGUAGCGGUGAAAUGCAUAGAUAUUACGAAGAACACCAGUGGCGAAGGCGGCCGGCUGGGCUGUAACUGACGCUGAGGCACGAGAGCGUGGGGAGCGAACAGGAUUAGAUACCCUGGUAGUCCACGCCGUAAACGAUGUAUGCCAGGUGUUGUCCCUUCGGGGCCAGUGCUGCAGUUAACGCAUUAAGCAUACCACCUGGGGAGUACGUCCGCAAGGAUGAAACUCAAAGGAAUUGACGGGGGCCCGCACAAGCGGUGGAGCAUGUGGCUUAAUUCGAUGCAACGCGAAGAACCUUACCCAGGCUAAAUCCAUCUUGACCGCUCCUGAAAGGGAGUUUCCCUUCGGGGCAGGAUGGAAGGUGCUGCAUGGCUGUCGUCAGCUCGUGCCGUGAGGUGUUGGGUUAAGUCCCGCAACGAGCGCAACCCCUGUGGCUAGUUACCAGCGUGUAAUGGCGGGGACUCUAGCCAGACUGCCUACGCAAGUAGUGAGGAAGGUGGGGAUGACGUCAAGUCAUCAUGGCCCUUACGUCUGGGGCUGCACACGUGCUACAAUGGACGGUACAAAGGGAAGCUACCUCGCAAGGGGAUGCAGAUCUCGAAAGCCGUUCCCAGUUCGGAUUGCAGUCUGCAACUCGACUGCAUGAAGUUGGAAUCGCUAGUAAUCGCGUAUCAGCAAUGACGCGGUGAAUACGUUCCCGGGCCUUGUACACACCGCCCGUCAAGCGAUGGAAGUGGGGAGUACCUGACGUCGCCGCGCCAAUCCCGAUUUAUCGGGAAGGCAGGCGCCUAGGGUAAGCCUCAUGACUGGCGCUAAGUCGUAACAAGGUA